rnacentral:miRNA from 1 species
UGUGUGUGUGUGUGUGUGUGUGUGUAUGUAUAUGUGUAUAUAUACAUAUAUAUGUAUACACACACACACACACACACACU